UACGAAGGGUGCAAGCGUUAUUCGGAAUUACUGGGCGUAAAGCGUGCGCAGGCGGUUUGUUAAGUCUGUUGUGAAAUCCCCGAGCUCAACUUGGGAAUUGCAAUGGAUACUGGCAGGCUGGAGUAUGGUAGAGGAAGGUGGAAUUCCCGGUGUAGCAGUGAAAUGCGUAGAGAUCGGGAGGAACACCAGUGGCGAAGGCGGCCUUCUGGACCAAUACUGACGCUCAUGCACGAAAGCGUGGGGAGCAAACAGG
rnacentral:rRNA from 1 species